UGUUCCUAGAUGUGUAAAAUAUAAUCGAAAGUCUCAAAUAAAUUAAUUAACUAGAGCAUUGUAUAGUAACUAGUAUAUAAUUUUAUUUUAAUUUGUUUGAAAUCCAUGUAUGCUCUGGGGUUGGGAUACUCAAUAGUUAUUAUAAGACCUUAUGAUGCUUGGCAUUGGCUUAUUUACCUUGACAUUUUUUUUUAAUAAUGGGUAUGUCUGAAUUGAAAAUCUUGUGGUCCAAAAAUUCCAAACUUCAUCAUUCAUUUUCACUUCUCAUUGCUUAGUCAUUUGAUCAUUUAUUAUUUUAAUUUUUCUUUUAAAAAAUAUUAUAUUUUUAACUCACUGUUGGGUUCUUGGAGCUACCAUAGAGUUCUCUAUCCUUUAUUUUGUCCCACUUUUUCAUUUGAUGCUUGGAUUUGUAUUCAACUCAAAGCUAUUGCUGGUAUUCCUAUAAAGCGGGCUAGUUUACAAGAAGUAGCAACCUUGUGAAGAAAGUUGGGUUAUACUUGGUUAAAAUGUCGCAUGCCUUGGGCUAUUGGUGAUUUUGAGGGGAGAUACAUUUCAUUGCAAGCUUGGUUGUAUAUCUUCUUGAAGAAUUUGUUAUUAUUUGAUUUGUAUUUGAGAUGGUAGAUUUGAAUUUAAAUUAUGUAUAUGAUAUUGAACUUGGGUAUUGUUUUUCCUUAUUAGUAGUUAUUGAUUGAGCCAUUGUUAA